CGGAAAGAGAGGGAUU
rnacentral:tRNA from 6 species